rnacentral:rRNA from 1 species
UAGGGAAUCUUCCGCAAUGGGCGAAAGCCUGACGGAGCAACGCCGCGUGAGUGAAGAAGGAUUUCGGUUCGUAAAGCUCUGUUGUUAGGGAAGAAUGAUUAUGUAGUAACUAUACAUAGUAGAGACGGUACCUAACCAGAAAGCCACGGCUAACUACGUGCCAGCAGCCGCGGUAAUACGUAGGUGGCAAGCGUUGUCCGGAAUUAUUGGGCGUAAAGCGCGCGCAGGUGGUUUAAUAAGUCUGAUGUGAAAGCCCACGGCUCAACCGUGGAGGGUCAUUGGAAACUGUUAAACUUGAGUGCAGGAGAGAAAAGUGGAAUUCCUAAUGUAGCGGUGAAAUGCGUAGAGAUUAGGAGGAACACCAGUGGCGAAGGCGGCUUUUUGGCCUGUAACUGACACUGAGGCGCGAAAGCGUGGGGAGCAAACAGGAUUAGAUACCCUGGUAGUCCACGCCGUAAACGAUGAGUGCUAAGUGUUGGUCUCAUAAGAGAUCAGUGCUGCAGCUAACGCAUUAAGCACUCCGCCUGGGGAGUACGACCGCAAGGUUG